UACAUGGGGUGCAACCGUUACUCGGAAUUAUUGGGCGUAAAGCGCACGUAGGUGGUCUGUUAUGUCGGAUGUGAAAGCCCUCGGCUCAACUGAGGAAGUGCAUCCGAAACUGGCAGGCUUGAGUAUGUAAGAGGGUCGCGGAAUUCCCGGUGUAGAGGUGAAAUUCGUAGAUAUCGGGAGGAACACCGGUGGCGAAGGCGGCGACCUGGGACAAUACUGACACUGAGGUGCGAAAGCGUGGGGAGCAAACAGG
rnacentral:rRNA from 1 species